AGCAGUCGCCGCGGUAAUACGAAGGGGGCUAGCGUUGCUCGGAAUUACUGGGCGUAAAGGGAGCGUAGGCGGACAUUUAAGUCAGGGGUGAAAUCCCAGAGCUCAACUCUGGAACUGCCUUUGAUACUGGGUGUCUUGAGUGUGAUAGAGGUAUGUGGAACUCCGAGUGUAGAGGUGAAAUUCGUAGAUAUUCGGAAGAACACCAGUGGCGAAGGCGACAUACUGGAUCAUUACUGACGCUGAGGCUCGAAAGCGUGGGGAGCAAACAGGAUUAGAUACCCCUGUAGUCCCUGUCUCUUAUAC
rnacentral:rRNA from 1 species